rnacentral:lncRNA from 1 species
GAAACAGCUUCCAACCCUACUCCCUCUGCACCUGCCUUUCUUUGUCUAGACUCAGGCUCUUUCCUCUGUCUGGAAUGUCCCUUUUUCACCCCAAUUCUCUGCCUAGAAGUUUCCCAUGAAUCCUUUAGGACCCACAGCAAGUGUCACUUUUAGAGAUAUGUAACUUGUCUUUUGUGACAGCUCCUCUGACCUUAGGGGUCCGUGGAAAGAGAGAGAGAGAGCAAGGAGAACAUGCUGAACCCUUUUAUUGGGGAGAAGCCAUUCAAAUGAGGUAAGAGGUCAGGUUUCAGGGGGUUGAGACUAGCUUCUUGAUGUUUGCUGUCAGCAGGUUGACUGACAUCUAGGAAGGCCGUGCUUAUCUCAUGGGCUUAAUGAGGAUCAAAGGCUGAGCAAGAGAAGGGGGCACACAAAGGGAGUUUCCAUGGAAUAUUCUAUCCCAAACAGGGCAAAGGGUAGGAUUACAAAAGAAUAGGUCAGUGUAGCUCAAUUCCCAUGGGUGACGCCUACACCUAGAGCCACGCCUUGCUAUCUGAGUUGAGUUAAUGCCCAAGUUACUGCUAGACCUGGUACUAUCAUGCCAGACUGAAGGCAAUAAUUGGUCAGUGACCCGGGCAUUGGGACUUGAAGGCGUCUGCAUCCAUGGCAGCUCUCAACAAAUUGCCAGCAUUUAAUAUCCUCUGUCCUGAAAGAAAUACAAAUUAAAGCCUCAAUGAAAUGCCAUUCCAUGCCUACCUAGUCUUAAACAGGGCAGGGAGCAAGCGUUACUCUUGUGCAUGAUGGGUGGGAGGGCAAACAGCAUGACUUUGGAGAACUGGAGGCUUUUAUGUACACACUUCUACUCUGUGACUCAGCAAUCCCCAUCCUAGGUGUUUACUCAAGAGAAAUUAAAGCAUAGGCAGAGGUAAGGCUGCUCUAAAAACACUUGUGUAAGAAUGUUCUAAAAGCAAUCUUUAAAAAAAAAUCAACGCCACACAAACGCACACACACACACACACCAAACCAACAAAUAAACUCUGGAAACAACCAAAAUGUCCACCUAUGGGGUAAUGGAGGAAUAAAUUGUGGUAUAUCUAUAUAAUGGGAUGCUAUAGGAUGCUAUUUAGUGAUAAAAAGGAAAGAACUACUGAU